AAAGGAGAUGCGUGUACGAUUAUUCACAGAAGCAUUGUUUAGCAUCAUUUAUGAGAGUGAAGAAGUCGAAGCAACUUAAAUAUCUAUCAGCAAAAAUAAUGGAAAACAGAAUUUAGUGUGGAUGUACGAGAGGCUGUCACAGAGGAGCGCUGUGUGUGCACAUUCACUCACUGGGCAACACGAAUGGACCGGGUCCCUGAGCGGAAGCCCAGCUGGGACCCCCGGGGCCAGAGGUGGCCCCGGAAGCAGGUCAUCAGAAGGGGCCCCUGGACUGACUCCCAUAUGGUCGAUCGCUGGGAUGCACACGGGGAAGCAGGAGGCUCUGCGGCAUCCAGACAGCACGUGAUGACGACUUCAACUGGGGAGGCGGCUGUGGAGACAGAAUAAUUUACUAGACAAGCAGAGACGGCUUUUGGGGCGAGAAGUGGCAGAAACUGAUGGUGGAGCAGAGAUUCCUGGAGGUAGAGACCGGGUCUGGAGAACAGAGCACAGUUUUAAUCACACAGCAGAUUCUUAAACCAAAGGAAGACUUGAGGAUAGAAUUAUUGUGCCGUGACUCUCUCGUGCGUCAUUCAUGAAUCUUAAUACUCUUCACCUCCUCCAUUGCCUAAUAAAAUAUUUCCUUGUAACUGUAAAGCAAGAAAUCAACAGAGUAACCAUCUACCACAGAAGAUUCAAGAAAUGUCAACCAGUCUACUGUCAGAUGUGAGGAUGGAUGCGGGAAGCAGAACACACAGGUGGGACGUGAUCGCUGUACCAUAACCACAGAGGGAAGAAAGUCUGCACUAUAGUCCUAAGACCUAAGAAAGGAGGAGACACAGCAAGAGAGAUUCUGGUUAACGCCCUGGCUGGAGCUGCCAUCUUUGACUGGAAGAAUUAGUUCAGACUCAGUUCUUUCUUUUUUUUUUUUUUUGGAGGAAGAUUAGCCCUGCACUAACAUCUGCCACCAAUCCUUUUUUUUUGCUGAGGAAGACUGGCUCUGAGCUAACAUCUGUGCCCAUCUUCCUCUACUUUAUAUGAGGGAUGCCUGCCUUAGCAUGACCUGACAAGCAGU
rnacentral:lncRNA from 1 species